UUCUUCUUGGAACUUUCUUUGGACUGCAGUGACAUCUACAGCAAAAGUGCAAGAAAAUAUUGUUAAAUAAAAGCUGCCUAUGGAAAAUCACCAGCACAAUUUAGCCAUUAAUUGAGAAGACUAUGACACUGCCAGUUCUGACCUUUGAGUGCUUUGUAGCAUGGGGUAGAUCUGCUCAGAACUUCAGACCCUCCACUGUAAGAUGGUAAGAGUGUUAUUCACAUUUUCUCCUCAGCAUCCAGAUAUUUAAAUAAGAAAAUACAAUCAUAGAAUCACAGAAUAGCUCAGGUUGGAAAAGACCUUCAAGUUCAUCAAGUCUAACCGCAACCUAACCAUACUGUCCUAACUCUAACAACCCACUACAAAAUCAUGUCCCUGAGCAAGACAUCCAAAUGGUUUUAAACACAUUCAGGGAUGGUGACUCAACCACCUCCCUGGGGAGCCUAUUCCAGUGCUUAACCACCCCUGCUGUAAAGAAGUUUUUCCUGAUAUCCAACCUAAGCUUACCCUGGCACAGCUUGAGGCCAUUUCCCCUCGUCCUGUCACCUGUCACAAGUGAGAAGAGACCAACCCCACUCACGCUAUAAUCACCUUUCAGGUAUUUGAAGAGAUCAAUAAGGUCUCCCCUCAGCCUCCUCUUCCCC
ensembl:lncRNA